GGCAAGUCAUUUCACUUCUCUGUGCCUCAGUUCCCUCAUCUGUAAAAUGGAGAUGAAGGCUGUGAGCCCUCCGUGGACAACCUGAUGACCUUGUAUCUACCCCAGUGCUUAGAACAGUGCUUGGCACAUAGUAAGCAUUUAACAAAUACCAACAUUAUUGUCAUUAUUAUUAUUAAGUGGCGGAUCCGGGAUUAGAACCCAUGACCUUCGGACUCCCGGCCCCGUGCUCUUUCCACUGCGCCAUACUUUUCAUUCAUCAAGUUGUAUUUAUUGAGCACUUACUGUGUGCAGAGCACUGUUCUCAUCUGUUGAGAGUAAUGGAUGCCGUGGUGCUUGCCGGAAGUUACACAAAGUUCAUAUUCUGACCUCCAUUUUCCUCUAAUCCGUUGCUGGGGCAGUUGCUCUUCUGGAACAGUGGUGCCGGCAAUGUUGCUAAGAGUACGGUGAGGUUCAUUCAUUCAUUCAGUAGUAUUUAUUGAGUGCUUACUGUGUGCAGAACACUGUACUGCGCUCUUGGAAUGGACAAUUCGGCAACUGAUAGAGACAAUCCAUGCUCAAUGAUGGGCUCACUGUCUAAUCGGGGGAGACAGACGGACAAAAACAAGACAACGUAAUCACGAUAAAUAGAAUCAAGGGGAUGGACACCUCAUUAACAAAAUAAAUAAGGUAAUAAAAGCAGGGGUUAGGCGUCUUAGGAAACAAGAAGAAAGCCUUGAAAUUAAAAAAGAAAAUGAACUUUUUUUGAUGGGUCCACGGGAAGAGGGCUUUAACCCUUAUUUUAAAACUGUGGAAGAAAGAUUGAUUAAAUUGGGUCGAAGACCUAAUUCACAUUGUACUAAUACAUUAUGUGACAGGAUGGGAUCUUUUUUGUUUUCGGGUUUCAGGAUCAAGCAGAACAGCUUUUUAGAAGUGGACAUACAAACAACUGGGCGGUUUUGGUGUGCACAUCCAGAUUCUGGUUUAAUUACCGCCAUGUUGCCAACACUCUGUCUGUUUAUAGAGUGUCAAAAGAUUAGGCAUUCCUGACAGGUAAGAAAAUCUUUUAGAGUGAAAUUAUUAAAUAGCUACACAGCCUUCACUUUUAGGUGGCAUUCAGUUAAAGAUGAGAAGUAUUGGGGAAAAAUAGAGGAAAAAAAGAAUGUUAAUGGUAUUGAAAAGGUCAUUCUAAACCAAACUGAGCUCUGAACUGCUUUCUUCAGUGAACUAUAUAUAACCGUAAUUACAGGAUGGAUUAAGUAUGACUCUGGCAAAUGCCAAUUGUACCAUGGGUUUAUUUCACACUUUAACAAUUCUCCAUUAAGGAAUUCUUUUAUUUUUGUGACUAGUACGUGUAUUUUUAGUGUCUCUUUGAACAGGACCGAUAUUCUUUUAUUUCUCUAAGUGUCUAGAAUGGUGUUCUCUCCACUGGUGCUCAAUAAC
rnacentral:lncRNA from 1 species